GGCAGACUCCGCCCUCCAAGCCAGUGGAAUAUGUGUCAGACCCCAACCGCCUGCAGAGUUUCCUGCGUGAAGGGACCUCCCCUUCUAAGCAAGCAACCGCUUGGAGAUGAUCCAUUUUUGGAAACAUCCACAUUCAGUGACCCAACUGCAUUGCUAAAAUACGUGAACCAGUAAAAGAAGCAUAUUGUUGGCUGCUGUCAAGUCGACUUAUGGUUAAGGAAAUUACAACUAUAGCCAAACAAGAUUUCUCUGUCUAAACUUACACAGUUAACUAUUUGCAGUUAAGUUUUGUCAUUCUGUUUUUGUCCACUGGUUUCCUGCAAUCGUCAGCCAGAAUUCAAGCUUAUAUUGGAACAUAAAGUCUACACACCCGUAUUACUCUGUUUGAAAUAAUGAAUAAUUCAAAGAUAAUAAAUAUAUUAUCUUUCCAUGAGAUGGGCACAGAAUACAUGUUGGUACCAUACUGCUAUCUUCAACAUACAACUCUAAGCUUCACUUAAUAUUUGGACAGAGAAGAAUGAUAGGACAGUAGGAAUACUUAUUUUUUCUCUCAAGACACCAUGUGUGAUUUACAGAGGCUUUUCUUUGCUCCUUUGAGUUUUCUCUGCUUACACUGCCAGUGAUAAACAUGAAAUAUCUUCUUGAAAGGAUGAAAAGUACAUGCCUAACAGUGCAUUCUCAAAUCUGAUCUAGCCUGCCCAUUCAAAAAA